UUAGGUAGUUGGUGGGGUAAAGGCCUACCAAGCCGACGAUCUGUAGCGGGUCUGAGAGGAUGAUCCGCCACACUGGGACUGAGACACGGCCCAGACUCCUACGGGAGGCAGCAGUGGGGAAUUUUGCGCAAUGGGGGAAACCCUGACGCAGCAACGCCGCGUGAGUGAUGAAGGCUUUCGGGUCGUAAAGCUCUGUCUAGAGGGAAGAAGUGAUAUUUGGUUAAUACCCAGAUUUCUUGACGGUACCUCUGAAGGAAGCACCGGCUAACUCCGUGCCAGCAGCCGCGGUAAUACGGAGGGUGCAAGCGUUGUUCGGAAUUAUUGGGCGUAAAGCGCGUGUAGGCGGUUUGUUAAGUCUGAUGUGAAAGCCCUGGGCUCAACCUGGGAAGUGCAUUGGAAACUGGCAGACUUGAAUACGGGAGAGGGUAGUGGAAUUCCGAGUGUAGGAGUGAAAUCCGUAGAUAUUCGGAGGAACACCGGUGGCGAAGGCGGCUACCUGGACCGAUAUUGACGCUGAGACGCGAAAGCGUGGGUAGCAAACAGGAUUAGAUACCCUGGUAGUCCA
rnacentral:rRNA from 1 species